rnacentral:rRNA from 1 species
GAUGAACGCUGGCGGCGUGCCUAAUACAUGCAAGUCGAGCGAACAGACGAGGAGCUUGCUCCUCUGACGUUAGCGGCGGACGGGUGAGUAACACGUGGAUAACCUACCUAUAAGACUGGGAUAACUUCGGGAAACCGGAGCUAAUACCGGAUAAUAUAUUGAACCGCAUGGUUCAAUAGUGAAAGACGGUUUUGCUGUCACUUAUAGAUGGAUCCGCGCCGCAUUAGCUAGUUGGUAAGGUAACGGCUUACCAAGGCGACGAUGCGUAGCCGACCUGAGAGGGUGAUCGGCCACACUGGAACUGAGAAACGGUCCAGACUCCUACGGGAGGCAGCAGUAGGGAAUCUUCCGGAAUGGGCGAAAGCCUGACGGAGCAACGCCGCGUGAGUGAUGAAGGUCUUCGGAUCGUAAAACUCUGUUAUUAGGGAAGAACAAAUGUGUAAGUAACUAUGCACGUCUUGACGGUACCUAAUCAGAAAGCCACGGCUAACUACGUG